CGAUGCUGUGAUCACUCCUACUAUCUCCUACACACAGCUCCGUCGGAUCGACCCGAGCCUGAGCCAGCGCACGAGCCAGCCAGUGACCAGUGCACAGUCACAGUCCCUCUUUCAGGAGCAACAAUCUAUAAGCCUACCUGGUGUACACACGCCAGGAGACCAAGGCGUGGCAUGAGAGGCUUUAUGAACACCAGGUGCAGAGGGAUCGCCAGAUGCAGCAGGCUUUUCAGGAAAUGGCGGCCGACAGGUGUCCUCAGUUGCAGCCAGCACAAUGUCCUCCAGCACAACCAGUGCUGCUGACCUUUGAGGAGUUUGUGGCACAGAACGCUGGCCCCUCGCCGGGAACAGGUGGAUCUACCGUUGGCGGUGGUCUUCGCAGUACUCCCGAGACACGGAGCCCGAACACUCCGAUCCACGGAGGCGGAGGCGGAGGCGGAGGCGGAGGUGGAGGCAGUCUUGGCGGUAGCGCUGCCGCUAGCAGUGACGACCUGGGCUUCGGCGGUCUUGGCGGUGACGACCUCCGCGGUACUCGACGUCUUGGCGCUUAAGCCUUUGGGUCACAUUGUGGCGGUCUUGGUGGUGAUGAUACUUAUAUGCUAGUGAUGUUUCUUAUUGUUGUUUGUGAGAUACUUAUAUGCUUUGGUGGUGAUGAUACUUAUAUGUUUAUGCUUUGCGAUGCUUCUUAUGAUGUGUGAUGAUGAAUUUGUUGUGUGAUGCUGCUCCUUAUUGUUAUGUGAUGCAUAUAUUGCUGUAUGAUCCUUAUAUAUGUUGUAUAUAUUCAAAUGAAUUGAGCUGAAACAAAAUAGUAAAAAGAAAAAA